rnacentral:lncRNA from 1 species
AUGACCUGGGAGGGGACGCGCUCAAGGGCGCCGUUUCUCACCCGGGAAAGCAGCCCAGGCCCCGCUUGUAGGACGGACAGGCCGGCCCAGGCCUCUGCAGGGUCAGCCCGGCUCCCGCCCAGGCCCGCGAGGAGGACCCCCGAGGUGGGGCCAGGGCGGGGGGGCGGAGAGGGGGAUGCCCCCGCCAGUGGGAAGCCGGUGCGGUGCGGGCGCUCAAGCAGGGGUGACACGUGCCCCGGGGCCGCUCUCGGAGCGGUUCUCCCCGCCGCGUGUGGAAAGGAAAGCAGGCGAAGGACUGGUAACACAGCCCAGGAGUGGCAGAGCUGGUUGUGCCCAGGUCUGAUUCCAGGCCCUGAGCAUUUAAGCAGAGUGCUGAUCAUUUCCUUUCUAAGUGGACAUUAAAUUACUUCUUUUUUUUUUUUCCUUUUGUUAUUAUAACCAACCCUUCAAGGAAUGUCUUUAUCCAUAGGCCAUCUACUGUAUAAUGUUGUUGCUCUAAAUAACAAAGUCAGACUGGGAAUAUUUUAAUGACAGUUGAUGUGUUGUGCCAAAAUGACUUUUAAAAUAAUUAUGCCCAUUUGUAAUAUAUAAAUGACACAUAAAUAUAUAUCACCUUCUUUGUCCAUCCAUCUAUAAAUUACAUCCUGCUACCAUUAGUUAUGUUAGUUUAAAAUUUCGAAAUGAAAAUGCAGUAUUUUAGCAUUUAUAAUUAGAACAAUUAAACGAUAUGCUGUAUAUUUGUCCACUGGCUAGAGUUCUUUGUUUUUUUGUUUUCUUUUUUUUUCUUUUUUGGCUAGCGUUCUUUGAAUUGUAGCUUUAUGUCCUUUUCCCAUUUAUCCAGGAGACGUUUUAAAAAGUCGAUUAUAAGGACUUUCUCUUAGUAAUAAUGAUAUUAACCUUUUGUUAGAGUUGGUGCAAAUAUCUCUCCUGGUCUGUUUGCAUUUUAAUUGUUUUUCUCAUUUAAUGUAUUUUCAAAAGUUCAUGUAGUCAAAUAUAGCCAUUUCAAACAUUUUUUAUUGAACAUGCUGCUUCUAGACAAGAUUAUCUCUUCCAACUUCUCCAGAUAUUUCGAAAAGAUCUUAUUUUCCUGUAGUCUGUUUGGUUAAGCAAUAUUGUUUGGAAUUUAUAUUGAUUUUUGGUGUGACGUAUAUGCCUGACACGCUCAAGGCUGUUUCAUAACAAACAAAAAAAUCCUUAACCCCAACCUGCACCCACCCAGCUCCCCGCCCAGUGACUACUCUUUCUUCACUUCCUCACCUCCCACUCACACUUCCACCCACUCCAGUUUGGAUUCCAUUUCAAUCACACCAACAACAUCUCUUUCUCUCAGCUCACAGUGACCUAUGCUUUCAUUUCUGUUGGGUAAAUUGCUAGGAGUUGGCAGAUCAUAUGGUAGUUAUAUGUUCAGUCUUAUUAAAAAACUGCUAAGCUCUUAUCCAAAGUAGUUGUACCAUUUUAAAGUCCUACUAACACUGUAAGAAAAUUCCAGUUGCUUCAUUUCUUUGCCAGCAUUUAAUAUUGUCAGUCUUUUAAGUUUUAGUUGAUAAUUGGGUGUUAAGUGGCAUAUCAUGCUGGUUUUAAUUUGCAUUUCGAUAAUGACUACUGAUUUUGAACACCUGCUCACUGGUGAUUUUUGUAUCAUCUUUUGUGAAAUGUCUGUUCAAGCCUUUUGUCCAUUUAAGAAUUGGGUUUGUUGGGGAUCCCUGGGUGGUUCAGCAGUUUAGCACCUGCCUUUGGCCCAGGGUGUGAUCCUGGAGUCCCGGGAUCGAGUCCCACGUCAGGCUCCCUGCAUGGAGCCUGCUUUUCCCUCUGCUCGUGUCUCUGCCUCUCUGUGUCUCUCAGGAAUAAAUAAAUAAAAUCUUAAAAAAAAAAAAAGAAUUGGGUUUGUCUUUUGAUUUUUGACUUGUAGAAAUACCUUAUGUAUUCUGGAUGUAAGAUCUCUGUCAGAUAUAUGUAUUAUAUAUAUAUAUAUAUAUAUAUAUUAGUGAUAUAUAUAUUAUAUAUUCUAUGUUAUAUAUAUAUUAUAGAUUUCUCCCAGUCUGUGGCUUGCCUUUUCAAUUUUCUUACUGGUGUUCUUUGAACAGAUUUGUUUUAAAUUUGAUUAUUUCCAGUUUAUCAAUCUUUUCUUUUAUAGUUAGUACUGUGUUCUAGGAAAUUGUUGCCCUCUCCAAGGUCAUGAAGAUACUCUCCUGUGUUUUCUUCUAGGAGCCUUACAGUUUUAGCUUUUACUUUUAGGCCUAACAUCCAUCCUAAAUAAAU